AUUGAACGCUGGCGGCAUGCCUUACACAUGCAAGUCGAACGGCAGCACGGGAGCAAUCCUGGUGGCGAGUGGCGAACGGGUGAGUAAAGUAUCGGAACGUGCCCAGUCGUGGGGGAUAACGUAGCGAAAGUUACGCUAAUACCGCAUACGAUCUAUGGAUGAAAGCGGGGGAUCGCAAGACCUCGCGCGAUUGGAGCGGCCGAUAUCAGAUUAGGUAGUUGGUGGGGUAAAGGCUCACCAAGCCGACGAUCUGUAGCUGGUCUGAGAGGACGACCAGCAACACUGGGACUGAGACACGGCCCAGACUCCUACGGGAGGCAGCAGUGGGGAAUUUUGGACAAUGGGCGAAAGCCUGAUCCAGCCAUGCCGCGUGCAGGAUGAAGGCCUUCGGGUUGUAAACUGCUUUUGUACGGAACGAAAAGGUUUGGCCUAAUAAGCUGAGCUCAUGACGGUACCGUAAGAAUAAGCACUGGCUAACUACGUGCCAGCAGCCGCCGCGG
rnacentral:rRNA from 1 species